rnacentral:rRNA from 1 species
UACGUAGGUGGCAAGCGUUGUCCGGAUUUACUGGGCGUAAAGAGCGCGCAGGCGGUCGGAUCAGUCGAAUGUGAAAGCCCCCGGCUCAACUGGGGAGGGUCAUUCGAUACUGAUCGACUCGAAGGCAGGAGAGGGAAGUGGAAUUCCCGGUGUAGUGGUGAAAUGCGUAGAUAUCGGGAGGAACACCAGUGGCGAAGGCGACUUCCUGGCCUGUUCUUGACGCUGAGGCGCGAAAGCUAGGGGAGCAAACGGG